AUCCCCUUCUGAUUCAUAAGUGGACGAUUGGGUUCUCAUGCAGCGAUGUGACAUAUGCUUCCCUCAAACCUUGUUACAUUAGCACAUUACCUGUCUGAUG